AUACUGCCGCCCGCCCUGGGUGCCCAGCAGCGCGAUGCGCUUGGCUGGGGUAAACGGGAAGUCCGGUGGAGGUUUCAGGUAUUUUCCUGAGGUCGAUUCCGGCGCUGCCCCCGCAACGGUGAUUCAGAUUAUCUGAUCAGCCCGAUACCGGCCCUCGGCAUACACAGGAU
rnacentral:ncRNA from 1 species